CUUGGCAUGGGCGAAGCUGACGCUCACGCCGCGUGCGGGAUGAAGGCCCUCGGGUUGUAAACCGCUUUUAACAGGAACGAAAAUGACGGUACCUGUAGAAUAAGGUGCGGCCAACUACGUGCCAGCAGCCGCGGUGACACGUAGGCACCAAGCGUUGUCCGGAUUUAUUGGGCGUAAAGAGCUCGUAGGCGGUUCAGUAAGUCGGGUGUGAAAACUCUGGGCUUAACCCAGAGACGCCACUCGAUACUACUGUGACUAGAGUUCGGUAGGGGAGCGGGGAAUUCCUAGUGUAGCGGUGAAAUGCGCAGAUAUUAGGAGGAACACCGGUGGCGAAGGCGCCGCUCUGGGCCGAAACUGACGCUGAGGAGCGAAAGCGUGGGUAGCAAACAGGAUUAGAUACCCUGGUAGUCCACGCCGUAAACGGUGGGCACUAGGUGUGGGUUCCAACCAACGGGAUCCGCGCCGUCGCUAACGCAUUAAGUGCCCCGCCUGCGGAGUACGGCCGCAAGGUUAAAACUCAAAGGAAUUGACGGGGGCCCGCACAAGCAGCGGAGCGUGUUGCUUAAUUCGAUGCUACGCGAAGAACCUUACCUGGGUUUGACAUGUACGGAAAAGCCACAGAGAUGUGGUGUCCUUCGGGGGUCGUCCCCGGGUGUGCAUUGGUGGUCGCGCUCGUGUCGUGAGAUGUU
rnacentral:rRNA from 1 species